GUGCUCACUUGGGCAGCACAUAUACUAAAAUUGGAAUGAUACAGGCAAGAUUAGCAUGGCCGCUAUGCAAGGAUGAUACAUAAAUUUGUGAAGCGUUCCCCAAACAA